GGGCAACAUGAGUUUCCUGAAACUUGGGAAACUGACUGGGAAAUGGAGGUGACUUUGAGCAGCAGAUCAGGACUAGACAGACCAUAAUUAGAAAGGAUGUCCCAGGAGUCCAGUGCCACAGGUCACAGUCUUAGGAUACACAGCAGGCUCUUUCGGACUGACAGGAGGAGACGGUUCUUCACUCAAAGAAUGAAGGAUUGCAUUGUACUGCACCAGAGAAUACAGAGAGGAUUGAUACAGCAGAAGGAUCCUGACCAUCACCCAAGGAACAGCUGCAAAACUGUAGGAAGACAUUCAGUCCCUUCACAUCAUUGCUGAACACAGAGAAUGUCAGGCAGAGAAACCAUCAUCUGGAAAUCGGUCAGUUCCGGGAAGCUUUGACAUAUCACCAGAACGGAAACUAGUCAGUGGUGUGGAGCUUUUCAUCAAAACCAGCCUUUCUGAAGAUUGGGAUGCGUGUGAGCAGUCAGGGUGAGGCUGAGAAGUAGUGUGAAUGGGUUCCAAGUGUGGUGAGAGCUUCAAUCAUUCAUCGAGCCUCAGAAACCACUGACUUAUUGCUAGAGGUAAGAGGCUGUUCCAAAGUGAGGAGUGUGGAACGUUGUCCUCACUGCAUGGGGGUAACUCCAAGUCGUGUUUCACUGACAUCACACUGCAGGGUCACUCCAUUGUUGACAUCGUAAUCUCUCAGCACUGGUGAGGUCAUGUUCAGUUUGGAAGAACCUUUGCCCGAAACAUCGAUAUUCCUGCUCCUCGGAUGUUGCCUGACCUGCUGUGCUUUUCCAGCGCCACACUCUUGAUUGGUGGUGUCAUCACUGGUUGUUUGAUGGGAGUGAAAUCUGCUUCUUGUUCUGUGUCCCAGUCCCACUAAACAAUCUGCACAGUGAGACUGUGUACAUACUCUGAGGACAAGAUGGGCAAAAAUGUCGGUUGAUGUUCUAGGAAGUGUAAAGAUUUUAUUACAGAACUCACACUAAUAGGCUUCCUCCCCUGG